rnacentral:rRNA from 1 species
CUACGGGAUGCUCCAGUGAGGAAUUUUGCGCAAUGGGGGGAACCCUGACGCAGCAACGCCGCGUGAGUGAUGAAGGCUUUCGGGUCGUAAAGCUCUGUCAAGUGGGAAGAACCUAUGCAGUGUUAAUAUCACUGUAUACUGACGGUACCACUGAAGGAAGCACCGGCUAACUCCGUGCCAGCAGCCGCGGUAAUACGGGGGGUGCAAGCGUUAUUCGGAAUCAUUGGGCGUAAAGGGCACGUAGGCGGCUUGGUAAGUCAGAUGUGAAAGCCCGGGGCUUAACCCCGGAAGUGCAGUUGAUACUGUCAGGCUAGAGUAUGGGAGAGGGAAGUGGAAUUCCUGGUGUAGAGGUGAAAUUCGUAGAUAUCAGGAGGAACACCGGUGGCGAAGGCGACUUCCUGGACCAAUACUGACGCUGAGGUGCGAAGGCGUGGGUAGCAAACAGGAUUAGAUACCCGCGUAGUC